UGAAGAAGUGGAUCAAUAUGAAGAUAUUACAGUUCUUGCAGAAGAGAUAAUCGAAGAAAUGCUUUCUGAAUUGGCUCUACAAACUGUUGCAGGACCACAGCAUGAGGAAGAUUGACAGAACGUACAGGAGAGAGCUAGAGGAGGGCAAUAGGAUUUACCAAAUUUCCUGCAUGGCUCGACCAACGACCCAAGCUCAGUGAGAGCAGCAAAAAAGACAGAAGUUGAUCCAUCUAGACAACCAGAGGGAAAGAGUGAAGAAACUUCUGGACUUUCACUAGGAAGUACAGCGAUACCUGAAAGAGGAGCUGAAAGUCAAGGAAGAAGAGCGUUAUGACAAAUGGGCAGCUGUACAUGGCCUGAGCAUUCCUGACUCUACACCAGAGCUGCCCAAAAAAAGGAUGAGUAAGGUGGAGAAGAGAUUUUAAGAGUUCUUCUUCUUCUAAACCAACUUCUUCAACAACACCAUCACUACCUGCAUGGCCCUGUGGACACAGAGUGAUGACAAGACCGGUUUUACACUCAACAUCUCAGAUGCACAUUAGGAUAGUUGGC